UAGAAAUGUUCUUUUAAAAAACCUAGCAUAACAUAAACAUACGAUAAAACAAACUAAGUUAAUAACAACAAAAAUUAACAAGUAAAACAAAUUACAUCAUAAAAAAAUUCAAAUAGAGCCUCGGAUGUAGAGCCCCCCAUUGUGGGAAGGAUACUUUUAGAGCACAAAAUAUUCCAACGAGGCUUUAAAUGGGUCUCUCUACACUAUUUUUAGAGGCCCAUUUAGAGACUAUGAUUGGGGAUGCCCUGAAUGGAUGUGUCAUGGCAUUUGUAGCUGAAUUGGUUCAUGGCAUUGGUAGCUGCUGAUUAUGGUGUUUGCCACAAGAUUAGGAAAACAAAAAAGAAGAAAGGAAUGAAAUUACCGAAUUACUGGGUCUUUUUUUUUCUUUUUUUUAAAAAUAUUUGUUCUCUUUUUUUUUCAUUUUAUUUAUACAAGUGAUAAUCUAUUUUAAUGUAAUCUAAACUACAGGGAGGGGAAUUCGAACUUGGGUGCAGAGUUGGGAACACAUCCUCUUGGCAACGUCCAUAUCUGCUAUUUGUUGUCCUUUAGAUAAAAUAAAAUUUGUAAUCUUAUCCUCAAACUAAGUUGUCACCAAGUCAUUGGCUUUGGCUAGCUGUUUCCCUUUUUUCGAUCGAGGUGAUCGACAAUAGAAAUUUUUGGUCAUUCUUCUCUUGGAUUGUGUACGCGUGCCA
rnacentral:lncRNA from 1 species